rnacentral:rRNA from 1 species
AGGCAGCAGUAGGGAAUUUUCGUCAAUGGGCGCAAGCCUGAACGAGCGAUGCCGCGUGAGUGAAGAAGGCCUUCGGGUCGUAAAGCUCUGUUGCGGGGAAAAAAGGCAGCAUCAGGAAAUGGGUGCUGACUGAUGGUGCCCCGCCAGAAAGUCACGGCUAACUACGUGCC